rnacentral:misc_RNA from 1 species
GCCAAAGAAUGAUGAAGAAAAGAAAAGCCAAAACACUAUUUAGAAUCUCAACCCCAUCUCAAAUGAAGGUUUAGAAAUCAAAUCACACUAAAGUGCUAGAAAAUGGACAAAUUCAAGGAAUGAACUCCUUAGUAGAGAUUGGAGAAGGUGAUUUGCAUAAACCCUAACCCUAAAUGAUAAGGUUUUUUAGUACCCUGGAAAGGGAAAAGUUACUAGAAAGUUAACAAAGACAAACCCAAUUGCGAAAAUAAAAUAAACCCACCAGAGGUAAUGAAGCCUAGAUCAGUGAAGUGAACAACCCACAUAAUACACAACAAGUAUGAAAUCAAAUUAAGAUCAAGAUCAUCCAUGACUUGAAACAGUAUUUGGAGAUCCACACUUUCUAAAAAGAAGUUUCUACCAACCCUCAAAAAACCAACAAAUGAAUAAGGGGUAUGUGAAUAUGGUUAAAGAUAAGGGGAAAAGUCACUGGAUAAAUGAAGGGCACAACGUAGAAGCAUAAAAGAGGGGAAACAAACAAAUAAAAGAAAUG